rnacentral:tRNA from 3 species
UAUUCAAAUAGCUUAUAUUUAGAGUAUGACACUGAAGAUGUUAGGGAGAUAAAUUUAUCUUUGAAUA